rnacentral:rRNA from 1 species
CGGACAGCAAUAUGAAGGUCAGGCUGAAGACCUUACCCGAUUAGCUGAGAGGUGGUGCAUGGCCGUCGUCAGUUCGUACUGUGAAGCAUCCUGUUAAGUCAGGCAACGAGCGAGACCCACGUCCACAGUUGCCAGCAUACCCUCCGGGGUGAUGGGUACACUGUGGAGACCGCCGCUGCUAAAGCGGAGGAAGGAGUGGGCAACGGUAGGUCAGUAUGCCCCGAAUCUCCCGGGCUACACGCGGGCUACAAUGGUUGGUACAAUGGGCAUCUACCCCGAAAGGGGAAGGAAAUCUCUUAAAGCCAAUCGUAGUUCGGAUUGAGGGCUGCAACUCGCCCCCAUGAAGCUGGAAUCCGUAGUAAUCGCGUUUCAACAGAACGCGGUGAAUACGUCCCUGCUCCUU